GGGUUCUUUUUCACUGCCAGAAUAUGUGAUUUUAUUUAGCCAGCUGUCCCCUUGCGCUUUCCUGGCUCCCACCGCUGAACGAGGAAGGCCGCAGUCUCACAAGACGGUAAGAAAACACAAAGCAACUGUCGGUAAGGGAAGAUUGAGCAAACAUUGACCACCAAUCAGAUCGUUAAUGGAGAUGCCUUUACAGGAUGGUGGUGCAGAUGGGACAGAGCUGAGUUAAGAUGCUGCCAAACCUGCUGAACUUUUCCAGCAACAUCUAUUUUUGUUCCUGAUUUACAGAAUCCACAGUUCUUUCUUUUAAAGAGGGGAGGAAAGAGAGAAUAGCCACUAAGCAUCA